rnacentral:rRNA from 1 species
GACGAUCGCUGGCGGCGUGCUUAACACAUGCAAGUCGAACCCUUAAGCUCAGCUUUUGUUGGGUGGAUGAGUGGCGAACGGGUGAGUAACACGUGAGUAACCUGCCCCCUUCUUUGGGAUAACGCCCGGAAACGGGUGCUAAUACUGGAUAUUCACUGGUCUUCGCAUGGGGGUUGGUGUAAAGGGUUUUUCUGGUGGGGGAUGGGCUCGCGGCCUAUCAGCUUGUUGGUGGGGUGAUGGCCUACCAAGGCUUUGACGGGUAGCCGGCCUGAGAGGGUGACCGGUCACAUUGGGACUGAGGUACGGCCCAGACUCCGACGGGAGGCAGCAGUGGGGAAUAUUGCACAAUGGGCGCAAGCCUGAUGCAGCGACGCCGCGGGAGGGAUGGAGGCCUUCGGGUUGUGAACCUCUUUCGCUCAUGGUCAAGCCGCAACAAUGGUUGUGGUGAGGGUAGUGGGUAAAGAAGCGCCGGCUAACUACGUG